rnacentral:misc_RNA from 1 species
CCGCGGGCCACUACCACUCCGCCGCCGUCGACGUGGGCGGCCGCCUCUACACCUGGGGAUGGGGUGUCCACGGCCAGCUAUGUCUUGGAACAAUAGACGAUCGUUAUACUCCUCAAUUGGUCACCAAGCUUCAAGGACGGAAAGUUCUGAGCGUGGGUUGCGGCGCGUGCCACACCGUGGUGCUGAUGAAGAACGGAGAGGUGUGGGCGAGCGGCGCGGGCGUGUUCGGGCAGCUGGG